AUUGAACGCUGGCGGCAGGCCUAACACAUGCAAGUCGAACGAGUGGCGGACGGGUGAGUAAUGUCUGGGAAACUGCCUGAUGGAGGGGGAUAACUACUGGAAACGGUAGCUAAUACCGCAUACCAUCGGAUGUGCCCAGAUGGGAUUAGCUAGUAGGUGGGGUAAAGGCUCACCUAGGCGACGAUCCCUAGCUGGUCUGAGAGGAUGACCAGCCACACUGUAACUGAGUCACGGGCCAGACUCCGACGGGUGGCAGCAGGGGGGAAGAUUGCACACUUGGCGCAAUCCUGAUGCAGCCAUGCCGCUUGUAGGAAGAGGGCCUUCGGGUUUUAAAGUACUUUCAGCGGGUAGGCGUUACCCGCAGAAGAUGCACCGGCUAACUCCGUGCCAGCAGCCGCGGUUAUAC
rnacentral:rRNA from 1 species